rnacentral:lncRNA from 10 species
GUCAGCACUGGCUACUUCUAUGAGGGCCUUUAGCCAAGAGUAGGCAUCUCUCCUGAAGAAGCUGCAGGGCAGAAGUAGCAGCCAUGCUUAGAACUCACAAUCUGAUUUAUCUGAUGAAGGAGGAGGUGUCUGAUUUCAUCGGAAACCUGAACAAACCUGGCAAACUUUCUGGCCUGUGACUAAGAUAAAAAGGAUCAUGGCUCAUGGCUCAGUGGACAUGGCUGACUUACACCCUUCUCCUUUGGGAUGAAUGUCACCCUGUCAAGAUGUUGAAGGAGUUCGUGUCCCAACACGAACAAUAUGAUUGAACUAGUACAGAAUUGGGAGAUGGGGUCCCUAGCCAGCGACUAUGAAGACAAACAGCAAUUCAUCAGGAAGUGGUUGUUGUCACCAAUAAGUGAUACAAACACUCCUUAGAAAGCACGUCACUCCAUGAAAUACUUGUGAUCUGAGCUGAGAGACGAUCCCUUCGUAGCUCUUCCAAAGGUCAAAGGUAACUGAGUCCUGUCCACAGACUUUCAACCAAGCCCCUGUUUGAGCUUCAGCCUUUGCCAAGAUCAAAAAAGAAAAUAGUAAAAGGAUUACAGUAGAACAGACAACUUAGGAGCAACAAAUAAAUAAUAUAAAUGCUGGAAACUUUCAAAUUUGAACUUCGUAAUUGAGAUGUAAAAAUGUAUGAAAAUCUGAGAAAGAAUAUGACAUAUACGCAUGAAAAACACAGAAUGAGAGACACAGAGCACAGAUCUCAACCAGAGCCAAGCCUAAGCCAGAUAUGUCACAUUUAUGCUGCAUAUCUCAAGGCAGAAAUAUCUAUUUAUUGUUGUAAGCCUCGGAGGUUUGGAGGAAUGCUUCACUGCUGCAGCAAAAGUUGACUGGUGAAAAUGGAGACAGCAGAUUAUAAACCCCUUGAAAAAAGAAAGAAGCUGUGUCUAUGACAACUACAUAGCUGCUACGGAACCUGGCACAGUGCUAGCACACAGCAGGGGAUCAAUAAAUGUUGCUUGACUGACUAACAAAAAAGUGAACAUUAAAUGAAGACAGUCAGGUGAAAUUAAAUUCCUCCUUAUCCUUUUGGUGUUCGUUCUUAUUCUUUAUAAUUCUAUUCUCCCCACCCAGGCUCCCAGGUACUCUGAAUCCUCUUGCUACCUUUUCUCUGCUCCAGCCUUUCCCUUCCCCUCUUCCUAUCUCACUUCCCCUCUUCCUAUCUCACCUCCCCUCUUCCUAUCUCACCUGCUUGACAGUUUACCCACAUGAGCCUAUUCCUUCAGGAAGGUGAUGGGAGUAAGAACAGAACAGCUAAUCUUGUAAAAGAACUCCAACUCAGGAAACCAUCAUUUGAUGACAACUUCUAUUGAGUAACAUCCACCUUAGAGAGGUACCUAUUCUGAUGCUGGGUAGUAAAGGCCAGUAGAAGCCAGAUCUCAC